rnacentral:rRNA from 1 species
GAUGAACGCUGGCGGCAGGCCUAACACAUGCAAGUCGAACGGAUCCUUCGGGAUUAGUGGCGGACGGGUGAGUAACACGUGGGAACGUGCCCUUUGGUUCGGAACAACUCAGGGAAACUUGAGCUAAUACCGGAUGUGCCCUUCGGGGGAAAGAUUUAUCGCCAUUGGAGCGGCCCGCGUCUGAUUAGCUAGUUGGUGAGGUAAAGGCUCACCAAGGCGACGAUCAGUAGCUGGUCUGAGAGGAUGAUCAGCCACAUUGGGACUGAGACACGGCCCAAACUCCUACGGGAGGCAGCAGUGGGGAAUCUUGCGCAAUGGGCGAAAGCCUGACGCAGCCAUGCCGCGUGAAUGAUGAAGGUCUUAGGAUUGUAAAAUUCUUUCACCGGGGACGAUAAUGACGGUACCCGGAGAAGAAGCCCCGGCUAACUUCGUGCCAGCCGCCGCAGUAA